UGCAGAAUCCUGUGAACCAUCGAGUCUUUGAACGCAAGUUGCGCCCGAAGCCUUUAGGCCGAGGGCACGCCUGCCUGGGCGUCA
rnacentral:rRNA from 1 species